GCGCUGGAUCCUGCCAAAGCUUUCACUGUGCUCGGGGAGAUUUUGCUGUGAGCCUUCUCCCUUGUACAGAGCUGAGCUCUGUCUGGCAGCCUUACUUAAAAAGUCACUGUAAUACACAUAUUUAUGGGACGCUAGGUUUUAGUAACUUGAGGCUUAGGUUAGAAGCAGAACUCUUUUUUGUUAGUGAGUGUUACUCAUCUGCUGCCAGUCUGAGGUAAGUGUGAGGCUUCAGUUGAUGUCAGGUGAGUCCCAAAGGUCUGAAAGUUAGUCAUCGGAUCUAGGAUUGGUAAAUGUUCACAUACACACACUGUAUUUUGAUUUUGCAAUGUUUAGGCUUCCUAAAGAAAAACAGACAAGCGCUACCCUUAGCAUUACUGUUGUGUGUUUUUAUUAGAUGUUUGUUGCGUUUUAUAACCACCAGAUUACCGUUUAAAAAAUGUUGUUGGAAUAGAUCCUGUGGCUUUAGGCAUGGUUCUUCAGCUUCCUUGUCAAAGGGAAGGUGGUCCUUACAUAUGUUAUUUGAAGACAUCUGCAGGGAUGGGCAACCAUCACUGAAUUAACUUACAUUUGUUUUUAUGACCACUGGUGUAUAGGUUUUUUUUGUUUUGUUUUGUGAUUUGUUUUCCACACUUUUGUACCUUUUUCUUAAUGAAAAAAUUGUACAAGUAGUGUUUGUGUAAAGUUGAAAUUUCACUGAUAAACUUUUCCAUCUUUUUGUACUUUAAUCUGUAGGUCAGACUGUUAAAUGGGGUAUGCAUGGAAAUAGUAUAAGUAACCUUAUUUCAGAAUAAUGUCACGGGUUUGUAUGCAAAAAACCCCAGAAUUCUAGUUCUACCUCAUAUGCUUCUCUAGAAGCUUAAAUACUGCUUCAUAUACUGCCCAAAUGAAUGGACUGCAAGAAGGCUAAACAGGGGUUCAGUGAUUCAUCCAAGGUCAUAUAAUGAGACAAAGAUGGGAGGACAGUGCAAGUCAUUGUAUCUUUGCUGAAAAUAACCUUUGGGGCUACAAGACUCCACCAUUGACCUUCCCCAUCACUGUGAUGUCAUCUAAGAAGGAAAGAUUUUGCAGCAGUUAUGCUAUCAGCAUAAUGAAUGAGUUUAGUGAGGUCUCUGAUACCACCAUCUGCCUCUUGAUAGAAAUGCCCCCUAACUUCAAAGUUGUUUCAACUUUGUUUCCAGAAUUAAUAAUACACAUUUUUAUGUGUACUGUCUGUGAGUGACCCUCUAGUGAGGUGAAUAUUGUAAUCUGAAGCAUGACUUACCUUUUGCAAUAAAAGGAGUUCAUUUCCAUUUGUGUGA